rnacentral:lncRNA from 1 species
UUUUUUUAUUUAAGCCUUGUUAUGGCACCCUCAACGGAGUUGGGGUGACAUAUUGUUAUUCUACGUUUCUUUUUUUUUCUUAUUAUUUUUCUUCUUGCAACAAAUUUUGUCCAGGGGAUUUCUUGAAAUCCAAUGGACCAAUGUCGAUGGAACUCUACUAUAAUAAGGACCCCCACGUGCAGAGUUGCAGGAAGCAUGGAAUGGUUCAAGAUGGCUACCGUUUCCAUGGAAACAGAACAAAUGUGAAAAAAUCUAGUUUUUGGUUUUGGUAAACUGUUUGGAUAUGCUUUAACUCAGAAUCAUUAUAUUUUAAUAGAAUGUAGGUGCCCACUAUAUACAGGUUUUGGAUGAUUUUG